AAUAGGAAAGCAUCUUAAGUUUGAUGAAACAAAUGUCUUCUAGUUCAUUCAAUGAUGGAGGUUGUACAGCUGCGAGUGUUGCAUCCAUCGAAAAAUCUUUGAUUGAGGCUAGUCAUGAUCGAGAGAAACUACUACUCCAAGAGAUUACAACACUACAAGGGAGGUUGAUUCGUAUUGAAGAAGAGCUCCAAAAAUCUAAACUUCAAGUUGCACAUGUCGAUGAUGGUUGACUUUAGAAAUGAAUUACGAAAGAUGGAAGACUAGUCUCUAGUUUAAUAAUACAAAUGACAGCAUUUAUACAAGGCAUGAUUAUUGUGGAACUAUUUUUCUUCAUUAUAUCUAGGCAAGUCUAAUCUCCUAAGGCAUUGUACAGAUUGAAUUUGAAGACAUUAUGUUAUUUGUACAUAAUAUUUAUAA